rnacentral:rRNA from 1 species
CCAAUAGCGUAUAUUAAAGUUGCUGCAGUUAAAAAGCUCGUAGUUGAAUUUCGGGACUAAUAUGUUGGUCGUGCCUCGGUACGUACUGAUAUUUUUGGUUUCUCCCUUCUGACGAACCUUGAUGUCAUUAAUUUGGUGUCUUGGGAAAUCAGGACUGUUACUUUGAAAAAAUUAGAGUGUUUAAAGCAGGCUCACGCUUGAAUACAUUAGCAUGGAAUAA